UACGGAGGGGGCAAGCGUUAUUCGGAAUUAUUGGGCGUAAAGGGCGCGUAGGCGGCUAGAUGUGUCAAAGGUGAAAUCCCUCGGCUCAACUGAGGAACUGCCUUUGAAACUGUCUGGCUUGAGGCCGGGAGAGGGUAGCGGAAUUCCCAGUGUAGCGGUGAAAUGCGUAGAUAUUGCUCGGAAGGCCGGAGCCGAAGGGGCCCUACUGGUACGUAACUGACGCUGAGGCACGAAAGCGUGGGGAGCAAACAGG
rnacentral:rRNA from 1 species